rnacentral:tRNA from 1 species
AGAAAGAUAAGCUAACUGAAGCUAAUGGGCUCAUACCCCACAAAUGAAGGUUAUAUUUCAAUCCUUCUCUUUCUA